ACGCUCGACACCUACAGGAGGCAGCAGUGAGGAAUAUUGGUCAAUGGGCGCAGGCCUGAACCAGCCAAGUAGCGUGAAGGAUGACUGCCCUAUGGGUUGUAAACUUCUUUUAUAUGGGAAUAAAGUUUUCCACGUGUGGAAUUUUGUAUGUACCAUAUGAAUAAGGAUCGGCUAACUCCGUGUCAGCAGCCGCGGUAAUCUGAGCGGGCUGGCAAGGC
rnacentral:rRNA from 1 species